UACGAAGGGGGCUAGCGUUGCUCGGAAUCACUGGGCGUAAAGGGUGCGUAGGCGGGUCUUUAAGUCAGGGGUGAAAUCCUGGAGCUCAACUCCAGAACUGCCUUUGAUACUGAAGAUCUUGAGUAUGGGAGAGGUGAGUGGAACUGCGAGUGUAGAGGUGAAAUUCGUAGAUAUUCGCAAGAACACCAGUGGCGAAGGCGGACUCACUGGCCCAUUACUGACGCUGAGGCACGAAAGCGUGGGGAGCAAACAGG
rnacentral:rRNA from 1 species